AGACGAAAGCACAGUUCUGAGCAUGAGAGCUCACAUUCUGUUUCUACCAGGUGCUGAAGAAAAGCAAGACAGGUGGUUAAGACUGAAGAGUUGAUCCUGCGCUGUGCUGUGGAGUGGGCAGCUUCUCUCCAUCUUCUCUCACCCUGACACACUGUCUUAGGAUUCCAGUCUCAGAAGCCAGUCUUGAGGCUGAAGUGCAGUGGUGUGAUCCUGGCUCACUGCAGCCUCUGCCUCCCAGGUUCAAGCAAUUCUCUCACAUCAGCCUCCCAAGUAGUUGGAAUUACAGGAACAUAAGCUCCAGGAAAGCCACAGACUAUGGCCACCUACAUCUUGAAGCUCCGUGCCUGCCCUUGGGAGACACUAAAUGGAGUCUUGCUCUGUCGUCAGGCUGGAGUGCACUGGCGUAAUCUGGGCUUACUGCAACCUCCGCCUCCCGGAUUCAAGCGAUUCUCCUGCCUCAGCCUCCCGAGUGGCUGGGACUACAGGCAUGCGCCACCAUGCCGGCCUAAUGUUUUGUAUUUUAGUAGAGACGGGGUUUCACUAUGUUGGCCAGGAUGGUCUCAAUCUCCCGACCUCAUGAUCCACCUGCCUCGGCCUCCCAAAGUGCUGGGAUUACAGGUGUGAGCCGCCAUGCCCAGCCUCAUGAGGGUUAUUAAGCACAUAAUUAUAGAAUGUGUUUUCUUCUUUUAACUACGAUAAGCAUUGUUCAGUAUUCUGUGGGUUUUUCUUUCUCCUUGCAAUGUCAACAGAAUACAUAAUGAGAAAGGUCAUGUCAGGGUCUUUUUGUUUCUCAAAGAUAUCUGAUGAAAUCUGAGGAAGUCAGCUUUACAAAUAACAUAAACUCUGGAGCUCCGUAAGCUGAACGAGUUAGUCUUGGAAGAGUUGCCUCUGCAGCAUUGCUACUCAGAACUUCUAUGAAAACCACAAGAAGUGGUGAGAGGAAGCGGCAAAAUCAAUGACAGAACACAAAUACCCUCUUCUGCCAACCGCUUAAAAGGAAAUUAUGGGGGGCUGGGUCGGUGGUUCGGUGGCUCACGCCUGUAAUCCCAACACUUUGGGAGGCUAAGGCGAGAGGAUUGCUUGAGCCCAGGAGUUUGAGACCAGCCAGGGAAACAUACAGAGAUGUCAGCUCUACAAACGAUAAUAAAAAGAAAAUUAUCCAAGCAUGGUGGUACACGCCUGUUGUCCCCACUACUUGGGAGGCUGAGUGGGAGAGGCUGAGGUUGGCAGAUUGCUUGAGCCAUGAUCACACCACUGCACUCAGUCUGGGUGACAGAGCAAGACCCAGUCUCAAAACAACAACAACAACAACAACAAAACCCAGAAAAUUCUUCACAAAGGUUAUACAUUUUCUCAAUAAUAUACAAAUUUGAGAAAUGUGAAGUACAUUUAAUUGAAUUAUGUAAAAUAUAACACAGACUUCAUAUAUUCAAUUCACAAAUAAAUUUUCUAGGUUCUUUACUUUUUCAUGUUCAUAUGUUUUUUAUGAAGAACAUAUGGUCACCUAAGAAGAAUAAAAUAAAAACCCAUCAAACAGAAAUAUUCAUAUCCUCCCCAAACCGUAUUAUCUUAAACACAAUUACAAACUUAUUUAAUUACACAAGUGAGAAUCUUAAGCUGAGAGAAGAAAAUUUCUAGAGAAAUUUCUUUUGUUCAUUAUAGGAUUAUUUCAAUACUGAAGGAUAGUCUUCGACAUUAGAAUUGCUUCCUUUUAAAGUGUACAAAUGCCAGUGUAAAAGGAAACAUCAUAACAUCCAUUUCAGCCUUAAUUUUCUAAUGGCUCAGGCCGUUUUUAUACAGUGUAUUCUUCUCCAGUGUCUUAAGAUAGUUUGGAAACAGUACCUGUUGAACCUUUCAGAGAGCAGUCUACCAUAUAUCCCUUGAUCCUCAAUUUCUAAUUUAGAUUCAUUUGUGGUUGUUACAGUUAUAAGUAACGUACAUUUAAGAAAGAUAUAUCUGUAGAACAGUUUCUGCACUUAUAUGUGUAUAUAAAUUAUAUGUCUGCUAAAUUUUUUUUGGCCUUUGUACUUGAAAAAAAAUUAACAGAUGUUAAAAUAUUUGGCUCACAAGCAAUGUUAAAAACAAUCUGUAGAUAAUGCUUCCUUAUUUUUCUUGGAUUAAUGUAAAAUCAGGAUUAAUUUGCUUUGUGUACCUGGGAAAUAAUCUCGUUUGUAUGCUUGUUUCUAGGAUGUCUUUUACUCUUCAUAAUAAUAAAAAAGUCAGUGCAUGUCAGUAUAUACAUAUCCUUCUUGAUUUUAUCUGGAAAUUAUUAGGUUUGAUCUCAAUUAUUUAUCAUUUAUAUCCAUUAGCUUUUUAACCCAUAAUUGUCAUUAUUAAAAUUUUUUUCAUGUUUACUACUGUG
ensembl:lncRNA GALNT13-AS1 GALNT13 antisense RNA 1